rfam:Oryza barthii chromosome 7, whole genome shotgun sequence.
AAAGAACGCAAUUUUACAACGUUUAUGUUCAGCGUUUGAUCGUCCAUCUUAUUUGAAAAAUUUGUAUGAUUAGUAUUUUUUUUAUUAGAUGAUAAAACAUGAAUAAUACUUUAUGCAUAACUAAUUUUUUUAUUUUUUUAAAUAAGAUGAACUGUCAAAUAUUGAAUACGAAAACUCACAACUGCACUUAAA